rnacentral:lncRNA from 1 species
ACUAUGGAUUAUGCUUGCUUGCCAUCGUGCUCAUUCGUACACGCUUGUGAGGGUCGCUCCCUACAAGUCGGCACUCCGGAGUUGGCCUACGCGACAGUUGCUCGCCCGUGCGGGAUUGGGUGCCGAAGUGGAUUGCCGUGGGGAGUUGAUACUACCACGGGGCCAUUAGGCGCGGCGCAAGCUGGACUACCUUGAGUAGGUCCUGGUGAAUUAAGUUAACAAUUUAACUUACAAAAUGAAUGAUUAUCA